GACGAACGCUGACGGCGUGCUUAACACAUGCAAGUCGAACGGAAAGGCCUCUUUCGGGGGGUACUCGAGUGGCGAACGGGUGAGUAACAUGUGAGUAACCUGCCCUUGACUUUGGGAUAACUUCAGGAAACUGGGGCUAAUACCGGAUAGGAGCUCCUGCUGCAUGGUGGGGGUUGGAAAGUUUCGGCGGUUGGGGAUGGACUCGCGGCUUAUCAGCUUGUUGGUGGGGUAGUGGCUUACCAAGGCUUUGACGGGUAGCCGGCCUGAGAGGGUGACCGGCCACAUUGGGACUGAGAUACGGCCCAGACUCCUACGGGAGGCAGCAGUGGGGAAUAUUGCACAAUGGGUGGAAGCCUGAUGCAGCAACGCCGUGUGCGGGAUGACGGCCUUCGGGUUGUAAACCGCUUUCGCUCAUGACGAAGCUUUGUGUGACGGUAGUGGGUAAAGAAGCACCGGCUAACUACGUG
rnacentral:rRNA from 1 species